rnacentral:rRNA from 1 species
UACGUAGGGUGCAAGCGUUGUCCGGAAUUAUUGGGCGUAAAGAGCUCGUAGGCGGUCUGUCACGUCGGCUGUGAAAACCCGGGGCUCAACCCCGGGCCUGCAGUCGAUACGGGCAGACUAGAGUGCGGUAGGGGAGACUGGAAUUCCUGGUGUAGCGGUGAAAUGCGCAGAUAUCAGGAGGAACACCGGUGGCGAAGGCGGGUCUCUGGGCCGUAACUGACGCUGAGGAGCGAAGGCGUGGGGAGCGAACAGG